AGGACGAACGCUGGCGGCGUGCUUAACACAUGCAAGUCGAGCGGUAAGGCCUUUCGGGGUACACGAGCGGCGAACGGGUGAGUAACACGUGGGUGAUCUGCCCUGCACUUCGGGAUAAGCCUGGGAAACUGGGUCUAAUACCGGAUAUGACCCCCUACUCGCAUGGUGGGUGGUGGAAAGAUUUAUCGGUGCAGAGUGGGCCCGCGGCCUAUCAGCUUGUUGGUGGGGUAAGUGGCCUACCGAAGGCGACGGACGGGUAGCCGACCUGACGAGGGUGACCGGCCACACGUGGGACGUGAGACACGGCCGACGACUACCGUACGGGAGACGAGCGAGGUGGGGAAACUAUUGACAACAAGUAGGGACGAAACGCCUAGAUA
rnacentral:rRNA from 1 species